rnacentral:lncRNA from 1 species
UUUUUUUUUACUUAUUAAACUGUACUUCUCUGUUUUUGAAAAAACUGUAGUACUAUAAUCUCCUCAUUCUUCGCAUUUAAAUUGCUUUAAUUUCUCCCCCCGUUAAUUAUUUAUUUUAUUGAUUUCUUCUCUCUCAAGUAAAUUUCAUUUCUAAUGGAUAGCAUUGAAUUUAAAUUUAAAUAUUUUAUAAGUGCAUAUUAAUUCUAACAGUAAUAUCAAACAGAAUUCAUAUUCUAU